AGGGAUGUAGCUCAGUGGUAGACCAUCUGCACUGCAUGCAGAAGGUCGUAGGUUCAAUCCCCAGCAUCUCCA